rnacentral:antisense_RNA from 1 species
CUUGACCGAUCCCAGCCACAGCGGUCGCUCCGCGGGCCGGUCACGUCCGUAGGUGGUGAGCAGGGCCUGCGCUUC